rnacentral:lncRNA from 1 species
GAGACCUUAUGUGCUAGAGAGGUCUCCUGAAGGCAGCAGAUGGUUGGUGAUCGCAUGUGGAUCAAGGACUGGAACAUAGCCCCUUUGUGGCCAUGGUGGAAAGGACCUCAGACCAUCAUCCUGACCACCCCCAAGGCUGUAAAGGUAGAAGGAAUCCCAUCCUGGGUCCACCACAGCCAUGUGAAUCCUGCAGCCGCUGAAACCUGGGAGGCAAAACAGAGCCUGGACAACCCCUGCAAAGUGACUCUGAGGAGGAUGACAAGCCCUGCUCCAGUCACACCUGGAAGCUGACUGGUCUACGCACAGCCAAAACAUGAGGAGGAUCAUUGUGGGACUCACUUUCCUUAUAAUUUGGACUUGUAUAGUAAAAACUUCCACUGAUUUUCCUCACAUGUAGGACUGCUCUCAGUGUAUACAUCAGGUUACCGAGGUAGCACAACAAGUUACAACAAUCUUUCUGUUCUAUAGUUACUAUGAAUGCCCAGGAAAUUUAAAAGGAAUAUGUUUAUAUAACGACACUCAGUAUAAGGUAUGUAGCCCAGGAAAUGACUGGCCAGAUGUGUGUUAUGACCCCUUUGAGCCUCCCAUGUCCACAGUUUUUGAAAUAAAAUUAAGGACUGAAGACUGGUGGGGACUCAUAAAUGAUACAAGUAAAGUAUUAGCCAGAACAGAAGAAAAAGGGGUGCCCAGAUGCACAAUCUUGAAAUUUGAUACCUGUGGUGUCAUUAAUAGCAAUAAGUUAGGAAGGGGAUAUAGCUCUUUUAGUUGGGAAAAAGGCUAUGUGACCAAAAAUAAGUACAUUUGUCAUGAAUUAGGACUGUGUGGAAAUGAAUGUGGAUACUGGUCUUGUGUCAUUUGGGCCACUUGGAUAAAAAAUGAAAAGGAUCCAGUCCACCUUCAGAAAGGAAAAAAUGGCCCUUCCUGUACUAAGGGACAAGGUAACACCUUAGAGCUAGUAAUAACCAAUCCCCUUGAUCCACGCUGGAGAAAAGGGGAGCAUGUGACCUUAGGAAUCAAUGGGGCCAGACUGGAUCCUCGAGUAAAUUUCUUAGUUUGAGGAGAAGUUUACAAACACUCUCCUGAGCCAGUGUUUCAAACUUUCUAUGAUGAACUAAAUGUGCCAGUACCAGAAAUUCCAGGAAAAACAAGAAAUUUGUUUUUGCAAUUAGCCAAGCAUGUAGCCCAGUCUCUCAAUGUCACUUCAUGUUAUGUCUGUGGAGGAACUGCAGUGGGAGAUCAAUGGCCAUGGGAAGCCUGAAAAUUAGUACAUACAGACCCAGCUCCUGAUGAAUUCCUGGCUCAAAAGAAUCACUCUAAUAAUUUCUGAGUCCUAAAAGCCUCAAUUAUUGGACAAUAUUGCAUAGCUAGAGAAGGAAAAGAAUUCACUUACCCCGUAGAAUGACUUAGUUGUCUGGAACAGAAACUGUAUAAUGGCACCACAAAGACAGUCACUUGGUGGAGUUCAAAUCACACAGAGAGGAAUCCACUUAGUAAAUUCCCAAAGUUGCAAACCGUGUGGACCCACCCGGAGUCCCACCGGGACUGGACAGCCCCCACUGGAUUAUACUGGAUAUGUGGGCAUAGAGCUUAUGCCAAAUUAUCCGAACAGUGGGCGGGUAGUUGUGUUAUUGUCACUAUUAAACCAUCUUUCUUUCUACUGCCCAUAAAGACAGGUGAACUCCUGGGCUUCCCUGUCUAUGCUUCCAGUGAAAAGAGAAGCAAAGCUAUAGGAAAUUGGAAAGAUGAUGAAUGGUCCCCUGAGGGAAUCAUACAAUAUUAUGGGCCUGCUACUUGGGCACAAGACAGCUCAUGGGGACGCCGGACCCCCAUUUACAUGAUGAACCAAAUCAUACGGUUACAAGCUGUCUUAGAAAUAACCACUGAUACAACCAGCAGAGCCUUGACUAUUCUGGCCUGGCAAGAAACUCAGAUGAGAAAUGCUAUCUAUCAAAGUAGAUUGGCUCUCGACUACUUGCUAGCAGUUGAAGGAGGGGUCUGUGGGAAAUUUAACCUUACUAAUUGCUGUCUACACAUAGAUGAUCAAGGGCGAGUGGUUGAAGACAUAGUUAGAGAUAUGACAAAACUGGCACACGUGUCCAUGCAAGUGUGGCAUGGAUUUGAUCCUGAAGCCAUGUUUGGAAAAUGGCUCCCAGUGCUAGGAGGAUUUAAAACUCUUAUAAUAGGAGUUAUAAUAGUAAUAAAAACCUGCUUACUGCUCCCUUGUUUGCUACCUGUACUUCUUCAAAUGAUAAAAAAGCUUCAUCGCUACCUUAGCUCUCCAAAAUACUCCAGCACAAGUGUACUAUAUGAAUCACCAUCGAUCUGUCUUGCAAGAAGACAUGGGUAGUGAGGAUGAAAGUGAGAACUCCCACUAUUGAGUGAGAUUCUCAAAUGGGGGGAAUAAGGGAGGAGACCACCCCUUAUAUUGUCUUAUGCCCAAUUUCUGCCUCCAAAGAAAGAAGAAGUAAAAACUAAAAGGCAGAAAUGAAAUCUACAAACAGACAACCCGGUGCCACACCCUGGGCCUGGUAGUUAAAGAUCGACCCCUGACCUAAUCAGUUAUUUGCAUAAAAAAGGCACUGUGAAGAUCCGUGUCCUGUUCAGUUUCUUUCUAAUUACCGAUGUAUGCAGCCCCCAGUCAUGUACCCCUGCUUGCUCAAUUGAUCACGACCCUCUCAAGCGGACACCCUUAGAGUUGUGAGCCCUUAAAAGGGACAGGAAUUGCUCACUUGGGGAGCUCGGUUGUUGGAGACGUGAGUCUUGCUAAAGCUCUUGCCUAAAUAAAGCCCUUCCUUCUUU